UACGUAGGGGGCAAGCGUUAUCCGGAUUUACUGGGUGUAAAGGGAGCGUAGACGGAAUUGCAAGUCUGAUGUGAAAAUCCGGGGCCCAACCCCGGAACUGCAUUGGAAACUGUAUUUCUAGAGUGUCGGAGAGGAAAGUGGAAUUCCUAGUGUAGCGGUGGAAUGCGUAGAUAUUAGGAGGAACAUCAGUGGCGAAGGCGACUUUCUGGACUGUAACUGACGCUGAGGCACGAAAGUGUGGGGAGCAAACAGG
rnacentral:rRNA from 1 species